UGGGGAAUAUUGCACAAUGGGCGCAAGCCUGAUGCAGCCAUGCCGCGUGUGUGAAGAAGGCCUUCGGGUUGUAAAGCACUUUCAGCGAGGAGGAAGGGUAGUGUGUUAAUAGCACAUUGCAUUGACGUUACUCGCAGUAGAAGCACCGGCUAACUCCGUGCCAGCAGCCGCGGUAAUACGGAGGGUGCAAGCGUUAAUCGGAAUUACUGGGCGUAAAGCGCACGCAGGCGGUUUGUUAAGUCAGAUGUGAAAUCCCAGGGAUUAACGUGGGAACUGCAUUUGAAACUGGCAAGCUAGAGACUUGGAGAGGGCGGUAGAAUUCCAGGUGUAGCGGUGAAAUGCGUAGAGAUCUGGAGGAAUACCGGAGGCGAAGGCGGCCCCCUGGACAAAGACUGACGCUCAGGUGCGAAAGCGUGGGGAGCAAACA
rnacentral:rRNA from 1 species